AAUACUCGUACAUGACCGAUAGCGAACACAGUACCGUGAGGGAAAGGUGAAAAGCACCCCGAUUAGGGGAGUGAAACAGUACCUGAAACCGGAUGCUUACAAGCAGUUGGAGCCCCAUAGGGGGUGACAGCGUACCUCUUGCAUAAUGGGUCAGUGACUUAAUCUAGCAUGCAAGCUUAAGCCGUUAGGUGUAGGCGCAGCGAAAGCGAGUCUGAAUAGGGCGUUUUAGUCGCAUGCUCUAGACCCGAAGCGGAGUGAUCUAUCCAUGGGCAGGUUGAAGCGCGGGUAAGACCGCGUGGAGGACCGAACCCACCAGGGUUAAAAACCUGGGGGAUGACCUGUGGAUAGGGGUGAAAGGCCAAUCAAACCUGGACAUAGCUGGUUCUCCGCGAAAACUAUUUAGGUAGUGCCUCGGACGUAUUCCUUGGGGGGUAGAGCACUGAAUGGAUGCGGGGGGAGCGAUCUCUACCAAUUCUAAUCAAACUCCGAAUACCCAAGAGAACUAUCCGGGAGACACACGGCGGGUGCUAACGUCCGUCG
rnacentral:rRNA from 13 species